UACGGAGGGUGCAAGCGUUGUCCGGAAUCACUGGGCGUAAAGGGCGCGUAGGCGGCCUGGUAAGUAGGGGGUGAAAUCCUGCGGCUUAACCGCAGGGCUGCCUUCUAAACUGUCAGGCUUGAGCACGGUAGAGGCAGAUGGAAUUCCCGGUGUAGCGGUGAAAUGCGUAGAUAUCGAGAGGAACACCAGUGGCGAAGGCGAGUCCCUGGACAACUCCUGACACUGAGGCACGAAAGCUAGGGGAGCAAACAGG
rnacentral:rRNA from 1 species